GAUUAACGCUGGCGGCGUGCAUAACACAUUCAAGUCGAACGAAGUGUAGCAAUACACUUAGUGGCGGACGGGUGAGUAACGCGUGAGUAAUCUACCUUUCGGUGCGGGAUAACAACCGGAAACAGUUGCUAAUACCGCAUAAGAUAGUACUACUGCAUGGUAGAGCUAUCAAAGGCUUGCUGCCGAAAGAUGAGCUUGCGUCCGAUUAGAUAGUUGGCGGGGUAAAGGCCCACCAAGUCGACGAUCGGUAGCCGGACUGAGAGGUUGAACGGCCACAUUGGAACUGAGAUACGGUCCAGACUCCUACGGGAGGCAGCAGUGGGGAAUAUUGGGCAAUGGGCGAAAGCCUGACCCAGCGACGCCGCGUGAGGGAAGAAGAUCUUCGGAUUGUAAACCGCUUUCAGCAGGGAAGAAGCAAGUGACGGUACCUGCAGAAGAAGUCACGGCUAACUACGUG
rnacentral:rRNA from 1 species